rnacentral:rRNA from 1 species
UACAGAGGUCUCAAGCGUUGUUCGGAUUCAUUGGGCGUAAAGGGUGCGUAGGCGGCGCGGUAAGUCGGGUGUGAAAUCUUGGAGCUUAACUCCGAAACUGCAUUCGAUACUGCCGUGCUUGAGGACUGGAGAGGAGACUGGAAUUUACGGUGUAGCGGUGAUAUGCGUAGAUAUCGUAAGGAAGACCAGUGGCGAAGGCGGGUCUCUGGACAGUUCCUGACGCUGAGGCACGAAGGUCAGGGGAGCAAACGGG